rnacentral:rRNA from 1 species
GAUGAACGCUAGCGGCAGGCCUAAUACAUGCAAGUCGAACGGUGUCUUCGGACAUAGUGGCGCACGGGUGCGUAACACGUAUGCAACCUACCUUACAUUGGGGGAUAGCCUUUCGAAAGGGAGAUUAAUACCGCAUAAGACAGUAGCUGGGCAUCCAGCAGCUGUUAAAGAUUUAUCGAUGUAUGCUGGGCAUGCUUCCAAUUAGCUAGUUGGUGAGGUAACGGCUCACCAAGGCAAUGAUUGGUAGGGGAACUGAGAGGUCAAUCCCCCACACUGGCACUGAGAUACGGGCCAGACUCCUACGGGAGGCAGCAGUAGGGAAUAUUGGGCAAUGGACGCAAGUCUGACCCAGCCAUGCCGCGUGCAGGAUGAAGGCGUUAUGCGUUGUAAACUGCUUUUAUACAGGAAGAAACGACUCUUGCGAGAGGCAUUGACGGUACUGUAUGAAUAAGCACCGGCUAACUCCGUGCCAGCCGCCGCGGUAAAAC